AGGACGAACGCUGGCGGCGUGCUUAACACAUGCAAGUCGAGCGGUAAGGCCUUUCGGGGUACACGAGCGGCGAACGGGUGAGUAACACGUGGGUGAUCUGCCCUGCACUUCGGGAUAAGCCUGGGAAACUGGGUCUAAUACCGGAUAUGACCUCCUAUCGCAUGGUGGGUGGUGGAAAGAUUUAUCGGUGCAGGAUGGGCCCGCGGCCUAUCAGCUUGUUGG
rnacentral:rRNA from 1 species